rnacentral:tRNA from 1 species
GAGGGUAUAGCUCAGGGGUAGAGUGCAUGGUUAGCAUGAACAGGUCCUGGGUUCAAUCCCCAGCACCUCCG